ensembl:lncRNA
GUGGUUCAAUGUUUGUGCCAGUUGUGUUGUGUCUUGCCUUCUGUUGUUUGGCUUUACAUUUAAAAGGAUGUUUCCUUACACUUGCUCUGUCUUGCAUCCCUUCAACUGUGACAUGAGGUUUUAUAUCUUGCAAAACAAGAAGAGGCAUUUGUUAGUUUUAAUGUCAUUCUUCCCUUUUCUUAAAUGGCAUUCUUCAUCUUAGAGUGGUCUGCAAAAUGUGAAAUGCCCCAUCAAGAAACGGGAUGGUUUGAGACUCAUGGUUCGAGUCAGCUGACGUUUGCCACAAACUGAGGGAGGCUAAAGAUGCAGGAAAGAGGUUAAUUGAACUCCAAGACAAAUAUCAUGUUGAUAAUCCUUGAAUUCUCAACUAUUUCUUCUGGUAAAUGUUUGUUAACUUUGGUUUUUGCAAGCUGUAGCUGGAAGUAACGUGAGAGUAUAGCAUAGUAGUUUUACGUAUGCUUAGUUAAAACCCCUAUUGAUUUGAGUCUUGUUUAUUGAAAACUGUGGCUAUGUAAAUUAAUUAUUGAGAACCUGUCACUCGCAAUCUACUUUACAAAUGCCUAGUCUUUUUUUUAACAUGGUUACUUUGGUGUUAUUUCAAAAAAUGGUGGUGUCCUUCAUAGAACUAGCAGAUUUAGUGGAGAGUUGAGAAAUAAUAAAUUCUUAGCUAUUUCUGGUACUGGUAAAUGUGUUUAUAUAUUUUAUCAUUUUUGGCAAGUAACCGCGAAGGUACAGAAUUAGUCAUUUGUAUUAGUAAAUAUGUGUUAAUGCAAUUGAUUGUCAGUAUGUUUUGUAAGUGAGGGAAAUACGAAAGUGGUGUGUAACAGUGAGAUCUGUUGGAGUUACUCAUGUGUACAUUACUAGCACCCAGCAAACAACUGCAAAAGAGCAUUUUUCUGCAUAAUCUUGUAAUUCCUAAAGACUAAAGGCACAGAACACCACAUGGGCCUAAUCAACGUUGGUAUUUGAAAUGUAUCUAUUGUUUAAAGCGUGUUCUUUGUUUUCAAAAGUUUUAAAGUGUAUUUGUUGUCUUCUAAAAAUUGUCAGUGUCCAUUCGCUAUUUUAUGGAGUCUCUAUUAAUUUUGAAACAUGUGGCACUGAAUGGACAGACCAAUGAAGAGUCAAAAGAAGACACCGCAAAAUUAAAAUCCGCUUAUGAUAGAUUGUGAAGAGACCUUUUUUUUUUAACACAUUGCUAACAUUGGUAAUUUGUAUGUUAAGCAGUUGUGCUGUAGUGAAAUGUCCCAUUAUGUUUGCUAGGAGGAAUACUCCUAUUUUGUUUUCCAAUGUGUUAUGUCCUGCCUUGUGGUUAAAGUAAUUAAAUGCAUUUGGUUUGUGCUCUCCUCUUUAUACCAAUACAGCUACUUUCCAUAAGUAUAGAAACUAUAAGCACUCAUUUAAAGACGCUUGGGCUCUACCUGUGCUUUUAUGUGUAGGUCCAUAUUAUGUUUUCCUCAUUCUGUCUUUAUACAGUAAGAAUUAAGAACACAUUAACAGAGAGGGGAAUUGUUUAACUCCAAAGCCAAAUCUCAAAAAUGACAAGGCUUCUUUAAGAUACUGCAAUUAUUUGGCCAGGAGAUGAAUGGACCAGAAAAGUAAUUAAAGGAAAAGAUCUGUCCCUUGUGUUGAAAUAGAUGUUAGCAUUUUCCAAAGCCCUGUGAAGAAUUCUUAUUAGAAAAUGUAACAGUUUUUCCCCCUCACCUAAUUUACAGUGGGUGCCACAUCAUCACACUACACUGUAACUGUGCCGUCCAAUUGUUUGCUACCAGAUAGAUUUUGAGGCCAAAAUUAAGGAUCAUAAUUCAUUUGCCACCUUUGUUGUUGCUAGUUCUGUUUCUCACACUUCCAAGAGGUGACUUUAGUCUCAUCUUUACCGCCACAUCAGUUACUAAUGUCUAUUCUUUGAGAUUUAAAGCCAUGGCCUGAAUAAUUCCUCAGGCCAAUCCAAUUUGAAAGUAGGAACAUGAUGCAACGGUGAUGUCCUGGAAUGAGAAAUGUUAGCAAUUCAGUUGCAUUUGAUGGUAUUGAUGUUUUAAAACACUUUGAUGGAGACCAGCCUUGGGAAUUGGAAUAGGAAGCACAGCAAUGAAAUGCUUUGCAGGCACUUUAACAACACCAGAAAUUCUGAGAAAGAUGAGACAGGCGGGUUUUCUUAAGGUAUACUUGUAGUAUGGAUGUGUGGUAUGGAUUGCCAAGGUUUUGUCAGAUAAUAUGGAUGACUGUCUCUGUUAUCCAUGAUCAUAUGCUCUCUGUAAGCAUUUGUUAGUAUUGAACCUGGAGAUAAAUCUUUG